UAGGGAAUCUUCGGCAAUGGGGGGAACCCUGACCGAGCAACGCCGCGUGAGUGAAGAAGGUUUUCGGAUCGUAAAGCUCUGUUGUUAAGGAAGAACGAGUGUGAGAAUGGAAAGUUCAUACUGUGACGGUACUUAACCAGAAAGGGACGGCUAACUACGUGCCAGCAGCCGCGGUAAUACGUAGGUCCCGAGCGUUGUCCGGAUUUAUUGGGCGUAAAGCGAGCGCAGGCGGUUAGAUAAGUCUGAAGUUAAAGGCAGUGGCUCAACCAUUGUAUGCUUUGGAAACUGUAUAACUUGAGUGCAGAAGGGGAGAGUGGAAUUCCAUGUGUAACGGUGAAAUUCGUAGAUAUAUGGAGGAACACCGGUGGCGAAAGCGGCUCUCUGGUCUGUAACUGACGCUGAGGCUCGAAAGCGUGGGGAGCGAACAGG
rnacentral:rRNA from 1 species